UCGCAGAGCGAAUCACUUUCAUAUUAAGCUCUUGUCAUCUACGGAAAGAGGUUCGCACAGCAGAAGGAGAUCACGGGAUAAUCUCGGCUAUUUUACCCGCAUCAACAAGGGUCGUAAAAGUGCCAGCCACGAAGUUCAACAAUGGUGUUUGAAUCUAUGGUCAGUGAUCUGCUGAACAGGUUCAUCGGAGACUAUGUGGAAAACCUCGACAAGUCCCAGUUGAAGAUUGGCAUUUGGGGAGGCAAUGUUGUUCUGGAGAACCUGAAAGUUAAAGAAAAUGCUUUGAGUGAGCUGGAUGUUCCAUUUAAAGUGAAAGCUGGUCAGAGU